GGGAUGUAGCUCAGUGGUGGAGUGCUUGACUCCCAUGUAUGAAGCCUUGGGUUCAAUCCCCAGCACUACCCA
rnacentral:tRNA from 2 species